rnacentral:rRNA from 1 species
CCCGGCGGCACUAGCGCGGUGGUCCCACCUGACCCCAUGCCGAACUCAGAAGUGAAACGCCGUAGCGCCGAUGGUAGUGUGGGGUCUCCCCAUGUGAGAGUAGGGAACUGCCGGCA